GGGCCCUUGGCGCAGUUGGUAGCGCGUAUGCUUUGCAUUCCUGCUUCGGUUGAUGUGCUUGCAUAAGGUCGGGGGUUCGACUCCCUCAGUGUCCA